rnacentral:tRNA from 1 species
GGUUCAUUAGUACCGGUUAGCUCAACGCCACCUCCCUUACAAGGAGGGGGUCGGCGGUUCGAUCCCGUCAUCACCCACCA